rnacentral:rRNA from 1 species
GGGGAAUAUUGGACAAUGGACCAAAAGUCUGAUCCAGCAAUUCUGUGUGCACGAUGACGUUUUUCGGAAUGUAAAGUGCUUUCAGUUGGGAAGAAAAAAUGACGGUACCAACAGAAGAAGUGACGGCUAAAUACGUGCCAGCAGCCGCGGUAAUACGUAUGUCACAAGCGUUAUCCGGAUUUAUUGGGCGUAAAGCGCGUCUAGGUGGUUAUGUAAGUCUGAUGUGAAAAUGCAGGGCUCAACUCUGUAUUGCGUUGGAAACUGCAUGACUAGAGUACUGGAGAGGUAAGCGGAACUACAAGUGUAGAGGUGAAAUUCGUAGAUAUUUGUAGGAAUGCCGAUGGGGAAGCCAGCUUACUGGACAGAUACUGACGCUAAAGCGCGAAAGCGUGGGUAGCAAACAGGAUUAGAUACCCUGGUAGUCCACGCCGUAAACGAUGAUUACUAGGUGUUGGGGGUCGAACCUCAGCGCCCAAGCUAACGCGAUAAGUAAUCCGCCUGGGGAGUACGUACGCAAGUAUG